rnacentral:rRNA from 1 species
AUGACUCCACUGCUGCGUCCAGCAAAUACGGCGUUCCAGACCGUAAACGAGCUGAUUGACACAACUAACUGGAUAUGGCGUCAGGAGUUGGUGCGAGGGGUCUUUAUAGCACCCGAUGCUGCCGCCAUUCUUAACAUACCACUGCGGCAGGGCGGCGGCGAGGAUAUUCUUGCUUGGGCACAUGAGAAAUCAGGCAUUUAUUCUGUUAAAUCGGCGUAUCGAGCUCUAGUGAAUCAAAAAGAGCGUUUGGCUCUAGAUGAGGGGCAGAUUACCGGCAUUUCAGUGGAUCAACAACAGAUGUGGAAUGCGGUAUGGAAACUCAAAGUAGUCCCAAAAGUCAGAGUGUUCUGGUGGCGAGUUUUGAGGGGCAUCAUUCCGGAUGAGUGCACCCUAAGGUAUCGCCACAUAAAAGAAACAAGCAUGUGCAAGAUCUGCUUGGCUAUGAACGAGGACUUACAACACGCGCUGCUGCAUUGUACGCAUGCGCGCCGUUUUUGGGAGGAGGCUCGACUUAUUUUUGAAGUUCAUCUGCCACGUCUUCAUCCUCACACAUGGGCAAAGGAUAUCCUUUGUGAAUCCCGGUUCUCUGAUAAAGAUCGGGCUAUUUUCAGCACGACGAUUUUUUGA